AAUAAUUUUGCAUUUAUAUGUUUUUCGAUAAUUUUUAACUGUUAUAAUAGAGACUACGCUUUUACUACUCUUUAAAAUUUUUUAUAAGCAAUGAAAUCUGAAAAUAACGGUUAUAGUAUCUAAAAUAGCGACUAAACUUGAUCGAAAAAAUAGAAAUAAUAAAAGAACCAUUAAAUUAUGAUUGUUGUUAUGAAGAUCAUAACCCUUACGGUCGCCGCUUUGAGGCAUUCUGUGAACCAACGAACCAGAUAAAAAUAUAAAAUAAAUAAUAUUUGCGUAAUUUAUAUUGCAUUGCCCUCUUUUACCACAACAAAAUGCAUUAAGGGUAUUUAUUUCAGUACGCAAGAUCCUUAUUUGUGCAAUUUUGUAACUUCGCGCAGUUUUUUUUUUUCAUUUGGGCCAAUAUAUCCCUUCAUUCUGUGCUUUGUCUGUCAGUAGAUUAUUUGCGAAAUUUCACAAUUUCGAUUUUAGGCUAGAAGCAGAAUUCGCAGAAAGAUCACAUAAAUUUCUUUUCUGGUAAACAUUUUUUUAAAUUCGAAUUCGAUGCUAAUGAAUUUAAAUAUUAUAUACAUAUGUAAGUAGGUGCAACAUUGUGUAUCAUUUUAUAUUUUUAGUUUAUUUGUAUCAAAUAGUUAUUAAAUACGCCUUAUAUAUACACAUUUGUUUGUAUACUUUUUCAUAGUGUACUACACAUGCAUUCGAAUAUGUAUAAUGUUUGAAAAGAUACAUACGUGCAUAAACAUGUACAUGCAUAUGUAUGUAUGUAUGUGUAACAAAAAUUUU